UACGUAGGGUGCGAGCGUUGUCCGGAAUUAUUGGGCGUAAAGGGCUCGUAGGCGGUCUGUCGCGUCGGGAGUGAAAACUCAGGGCUUAACCCUGAGCCUGCUUCCGAUACGGGCAGACUAGAGGUAUGCAGGGGAGAACGGAAUUCCUGGUGUAGCGGUGGAAUGCGCAGAUAUCAGGAAGAACACCGAUGGCGAAGGCAGCUCUCUGGGACGGUACUGACGCUGAGACGCGAAAGCGUGGGGAGCGAACAGG
rnacentral:rRNA from 1 species